rnacentral:lncRNA from 1 species
AUGAAAGGCAAGCUCCGAGCGGGGACGAGGGAUAUAAACAAGCUAAAAGCCGCCCACAGGAGAGCUUUUACACCAGAUAACCAAUUAUAUUACCAUUUACCAGCCAAUGAUACAAAAGAGUUAGGCCCCUACCAGUCAACCAGCACCAGCCAGCGAUGCCGUGAAAACCCGGACAAGCCAGGAGCCAGUUAAAGAUAAAGGUUGGCAGAAGGAGUCGAGUUGUAUGCACUAUAACCUGCUUAGUGGUUGGAGUGGGGAAACAACUGACACCCUCCAGAGACCAGCAUAACCAAAUACCAGGAACUGACUGAUAGGGGAGGGGGAGGACAAGUUACAUUUCCCCACCCCUUCGCAGUGUUUUGUACCACUACCAGCAAUAGUCACUACAUUGGACAUUCACCAAUUUUUGCUUUGUCC